rnacentral:lncRNA from 1 species
CUUGGGCUGAUUUUCCUUCCCAUUGUUUACCAUGAACUCUGGGAAUUAGGACGAGAACUAGUAUGUAAAGAAUGUUUUUUUUUUAAGUUUUAUUGAGAUAGGUUUAAAAUGCCACAAAACUCAGUUAGUUGUUUCAUACAUACAACAUACAGUUAGUUGGUUACUGCCAUCUUUUGAAGUGGUUGCUUCUCAUAUUCUCUGAAUCUGGAGUGGGGUCAGUGCACUCUAGGGAUGAGGAAGAGUUGAUGGAGCCGACCAUUUUGGCUAGACAAGGGUAGUGGGGAAGUAUGCCAUGACGAAUUCAGCUGACCUUGGAGUCAUCAUGAGAAUUCGUUCUUAGCUGGGGUGCAGUGGUGUGUGCCUGUAGUCCUGGCUACUCAGGAGGCUGAGGCAGGAGGAUCACUUGAGCCCAGGAGUUUUCUGGGCAAUAUAGAUCCUAUAAGUUCUAGGCUGGGCGCGGUGGCUCCUGCCUGUAAACCCAGCACUUUGGGAAGGCUGAGGCGGGCGGAUCACAAGGUCAGUAGUUUGAGACCAGCCUGGCCAAUAUGGUGAAACUCCGUCUCUACUAAAAAUACAAAAAUUAGCCGGGCGUGGUGGCGCGUGCCUGUAGUCCCAGCUGCUCAGGAGGCUAAGGCAGGAGAAUCGCUUGAACCCGGGAGGCGGAGGUUGCAGUGAGCUAAGGUUGUGCCACUGCACUCCAACCUGGUAACAAAGCGAGACUCCGUCUCA